rnacentral:rRNA from 1 species
CCUACGGGGGGCAGCAGUGAGGAAUAUUGGUCAAUGGGCGAGAGCCUGAACCAGCCAAGUCGCGUGAGGGAGUACUGCCCUAUGGGUUGUAAACCUCUUUUGUCGGGGAGCAAAAGCCGGACGUGUCCGGCUGUGAGAGUACCCGAAGAAAAAGCAUCGGCUAACUCCGUGCCAGCAGCCGCGGUAAUACGGAGGAUGCGAGCGUUAUCCGGAUUUAUUGGGUUUUAAGGGUGCGCAGGCGGAUUUUUAAGUCAGCGGUAAAAUCGUGGGGCUCAACCCCAUCCAGCCGUUGAAACUGGGGAUCUAGAGUGUGCGAGAGGUAUGCGGAAUGCGUGGUGUAGCGGUGAAAUGCAUAGAUAUCACGCAGAACCCCGAUUGCGAAGGCAGCAUACCGGUGCACAACUGACGCUCAGGCACGAAAGCGUGGGUAUCGAACAGGAUUAGAUACCCGGGUAGUC